rnacentral:snoRNA from 1 species
YGGCUGUGAUGACUUCUUAGGACACCUUUGGAUUCCCCAUGAAAACAAACUCAUGAAACACYUGAGCUGC